CUUUUCGUCUUGUGCCUUUGGAGGGGAUAAGGCCACCAUGGAGGCGGCACCGGCACCGCGACCCCGCCGGCAGCGCCGGGACCCCGCCGGCACCGCGGGAACCCCUCCCCGCAGAAAGAUGCCUUGAACUAAAGAGGCUGGCCUUUCCACCUGGUGUGACACCGCAGGGCUGGGAGCAGCUGGGGAGCUGGCCCUGAUGUGAAGGUAGAGCCUGCAGGUCUGUGCUGCCACGUGCUGGUGGUUGAUGUCCCCCCACUGAUGGGACAGCUCAAGUCCUGUGGAGGGCACUGAGACAGAGCAGGAGAAUCUGCUGGGUGAUGCUGCUGCAGACAUCUCUGAGGCAGAAGGACUCCAACAAAACACCUUGAGGAUUUUGUGUAGGCACAUUUUCUGCCUGUUCCAAAGUGCUAACAGUUAAAGUGGUUUAUUACAUGAACAUUAAAAUAGUUUUU